rnacentral:sRNA from 1 species
GGAAAACAUGAUUUUUUUUUCCUUUUUUUU